rnacentral:rRNA from 1 species
UACGAAGGGUGCAAGCGUUAAUCGGAAUUACUGGGCGUAAAGCGUGCGCAGGCGGUUCGUUGUGUCGGCGGUGAAAGCCCCGGGCUUAACCUGGGAAUGGCCGUUGAAACUGGCGAACUGGAGUGUGGCAGAGGGGGGGUGGAAUUCCGCGUGUAGCAGUGAAAUGCGUAGAGAUGCGGAGGAACACCGAUGGCGAAGGCAGCCCCCUGGGCUAACACUGACGCUCAGGCACGAAAGCGUGGGGAGCAACAGG